UACGUAGGGGGCAAGCGUUGUCCGGAAUCAUUGGGCGUAAAGAGCGUGUAGGCGGUUCAGUAAGUCUGCUGUGAAAGUCCAGGGCUCAACCCUGGGAUGCCGGUGGAUACUGCUGGGCUAGAGUACGGAAGAGGCGAGUGGAAUUCCAGGUGUAGCGGUGAAAUGCGUAGAUAUCGAGAGGAACAUCGGUGGCGAAGGCGGCCUUCUGGACGGUGACUGACGCUGAGAUGCGAAAGCGUGGGGAGCAAACAGG
rnacentral:rRNA from 1 species